rnacentral:rRNA from 1 species
UACGUAGGGUGCGAGCGUUGUCCGGAAUUAUUGGGCGUAAAGGGCUCGUAGGCGGUCUGUCACGUCGGGAGUGAAAACUCGGGGCUUAACUCCGAGCCUGCUUCUGAUACGGGCAGACUAGAGGUAUGCAGGGGAGAAUGGAAUUCCUGGUGUAGCGGUGAAAUGCGCAGAUAUCAGGAGGAACACCGGUGGCGAAGGCAGCUCUCUGGGACGGUACUGACGCUGAGACGCGAAAGCGUGGGGAGCGAACAGG